rnacentral:miRNA from 1 species
CGUGUGUGUGUGUGUGUGUGUGUGUGUGUGUGUGUGUGUGUGUGUGUGUACAGAGCCUGCCUCCUUGCUGGCAGUCACCAUGCCCCCACCUCGG